rnacentral:tRNA from 1 species
GGCCCCGUAGCUCAACUGGCAGAGCAAGCGACUCUUAAUCGCUAGGUUGAAAGUUCGAGUCUUUCCGGGGUCA